GCGGAGCGGUCUAGGGAGCCGCGGCCGCGGGUCACCCGGCGGGUAGCAGUUGCUGAGUGUUAGCUAGACAGCAGCGACUAGGGCUCGGGCGCCGGCGAGAUGCCUUUGUUCACCGCCAACCCCUUCGAGCAAGACGUGGAGCGAAAGAUUGCCUAAAAGCCAUAAUGAAAAGGGUAAAUCAUAAGGUUCCACAUGUUGCUCUGCAAGCACUAACUCUUCUUGGGGCUUGUGUGGCAAACUGUGGAAAGAUAUUUCAUUUAGAAGUAUGUUCCCGUGAUUUUGCAACAGAAGUACGUGCUGUGAUUAAAAAUAAGGCACAUCCUAAAGUAUGUGAAAAACUGAAAUCUUUAAUGGUGGAGUGGUCAGAAGAAUUUCAGAAGGACCCUCAGUUUAGUCUGAUAUCUGCAACUAUUAAAUCUAUGAAAGAAGAAGGAAUUACUUUUCCUCCAGCAGGUUCUCAGACUGUCUCAGCUGCUGCCAAGAAUGGUACGUCAUCGAACAAAAACAAAGAGGAAGAAGACAUAGCUAAAGCUAUUGAAUUAUCGCUGCAAGAACA
rnacentral:sRNA from 1 species